rnacentral:rRNA from 1 species
UACGUAGGGGGCAAGCGUUAUCCGGAUUUACUGGGUGUAAAGGGAGCGUAGACGGCAGGGCAAGUCUGGAGUGAAAGGCGGGGGCCCAACCCCUGGACUGCUCUGGAAACUGUCCGGCUGGAGUGCAGGAGAGGUAAGUGGAAUUCCUAGUGUAGCGGUGAAAUGCGUAGAUAUUAGGAGGAACACCAGUGGCGAAGGCGGCUUACUGGACUGUAACUGACGUUGAGGCUCGAAAGCGUGGGGAGCAAACAGG